CUACUUUAUACAGCUUAAGGUUGUGCUCAGCUGGUAAUUCAUCUGGUUUUGUUUUGUUUUGGUUUUUUUUUUUUUUUUGUAGAGUACGCUGAAAAUGCCAUUAAACCCAGAAAAAAUUCAGGAUCUUUCCUGUUUCUGUGCAUCUGUUGCCCAUUCAGGCUGAUGCUUGGAACAGCAUAAUCCUCUUGACAGAGGACUGGGGAUGUGCAUUUUUAUUUCAGUUGACACUUGAAUCAUCAGAUUUGAAUAGCAGAAUGACACAGUUGUUUUCCAUAUGAGGAGAGCUGCCACAGAAGUAUCAUACUAGUGGGUUUGGCCUAAUGGCUUCUCUUGGGAACCUAUUUCAUCUCAGGGAAUAUUUUUAAAUCUUCCAAAGCCAGGAGUUACAUCAAGAAAAGAAAAUAAAAGUAAGACAAAGUAACAUUUUACAUGUGCUUCCGGAUCCUUUCUGGGUUAGACCCGCGAGCUUUAUAAAGAGCUCUCCUUACCAGCGAAGUUCAGUCUGCAGUUCCUUCCCAGAGCCCUCUGCACAGUCUAUUCUCUCCUGCCAUUGCUUGAGGACUCCAAGCCCCUGAUAACUUGUGUUUUUUUCUCCUUCUUCUACAACUGAACAGGCUGCUGCCUCCUGAAGCUGUGCCUCUUCAGUGUCACUAUGAGUCCAACCCUAGGCUGCCUACCUUCUGGGAAGAUGACAUAGACAAGUGCCCUGAGAAGCUAUUUCCCUGGGAGAACAAGAGCUGAGGGCAUCUUAGCUUGAAUGACAAGGCUGGCACAUUCCUGCAGAAUCAGCAGUAUCCAGUGACCCUCCACAUCUAGCCAGAACCAGGGAUGAUGCUGACAUUUCAGAAAGCCGUCUGCCUUACUUAGAAAUGCUUCCGCUCGUGUCUUUACAAGAAGUACUUCAGGAACCAGUACCACAUCUGCAAAAAUGAAACCCUACAACCAGACCCAAUUUCCAGACAAAGAGUUAAAUAUUUAUUCUUCUUG